AAUAGAUACCCAGGUAGUCCACGCCGUAAACGGUGGGCGCUAGGUGUGGGGACUUUCCACGUCCUCUGUGCCGCAGCUAACGCAUUAAGCGCCCCGCCUGGGGAGUACGGCCGCAAGGCUAAAACUCAAAGGAAUUGACGGGGGCCCGCACAAGCGGCAGAGCAUGUGGCUUAAUUCGACGCAACGCGAAGAACCUUACCAAGGCUUGACAUGCAGGGAAAUCUCGUAGAGAUACGGGGUCCGCAAGGGCUCUGCACAGGUGGUGCAUGGUUGUCGUCAGCUCGUGUCGUGAGAUGUUGGGUUAAGUCCCGCAACGAGCGCAACCCUUGUCCUAUGUUGCCAGCGAGUAAUGUCGGGGACUCAUAGGAGACUGCCGGGGUCAACUCGGAGGAAGGUGGGGAUGACGUCAAAUCAUCAUGCCCCUUAUGUCUUGGGCUGCACACAUGCUACAAUGGUCGGUACAAAGGGCUGCGAGACCGCAAGGUGGAGCGAAUCCCAAAAAGCCGGCCUCAGUUCGGAUUGGGGU
rnacentral:rRNA from 1 species